rnacentral:tRNA from 1 species
GCCGCCGUAGUAUAGCCCGGCCAAGUAUGCGGGCCUCUCGAGCCCGUGUCCACAGGGCCAAUACAAGAAGGCCCGUGCGCGGGAGACCCGGGUUCAAAUCCCGGCGGCGGCA